rnacentral:rRNA from 1 species
AUGGACAUUUAUAAUUUCUGCCAUGCUAAUAAGCAGGAGACAAUUAGCGCCGGUGAUGCUAAUACGGUGAUCAUGCACAUGAUGGCGAGGCGAGAGCGAGAUGUGGAUUUUUUCUUCAAGUACUUGGUAGACGAGCAUGGCCAUCUGAAGGGACUGUUCUGGGCUGAUAGUCAAUCGCGACUUGACUACGAGGCUUUCGGAGACGUCGUUGUUUUCGAUAGCACAUACAGAACCAACAAAUACAAUCUGCCAUUCGUGCCGUUUGUCGGGUUGAAUCACCACCGCAGCACUGUUAUUUUUGGCUGUGGUAUAAUUUCUCAUGAAACAAACCAGGCAUACGAGUGGAUGUUGCGGACCUUUUCUGAUUGCAUGGCACAGAAGCAUCCGAUAUCUGUGAUCACAGAUGGGGACCUUGCAAUGCAGAGAGCAAUCAGGGUGGUCUGGCCAGACUCAAACCAUAGACUAUGUAUAUGGCACAUUCAGCAGAACAUUGUACGCCAUCUGCAUGAUGACGACGUAAAGGAGGAAUUCAGAUCUUUCAUUUAUGAUACUUCUUCCAUUGAAGAGCAUGAGAUAAAAUGGAUACAAUUCUUACAACGGAAUAAAGUAACCAGUGAGGAGUCUUGGCUGCAUCAGAUGUAUCAGAUGAGAAAGUUGUGGUGUGCUCCAUAUCUUGAGGGGCGUUGUUUCCUAGGAUUGAGCAGCAAUCAGAGGAGUGAGAGCUUGAACUCUGUGCUACAUACGCAUCUUGAGGGUAAGAUGUCGUUGUUUGAAAUGCUAGAGCACUAUGAGCGUUGCCUUGCGUCGCGACGGAUUAACGAAGCUCUUCAUGACGUCGAAGCCUUGCAGUCCGUUCCAUUUACAGAGGAAAAUGCUUCGCCGCUUGAGAAACACGUCGCAACAGUUUUCACACCUAGUGUCUUUAAGAUGGUCUUAUGGAGCAUAGAUGCUGUCAGCAAAUGUUAG